rnacentral:rRNA from 1 species
CAGCAGCCGCGGUAAUACGAAGGGGGCUAGCGUUGUUCGGAUUUACUGGGCGUAAAGGCCGCGUAGGCGGACUGAUAAGUCAGGGGUGAAAUCCCAAGGCUCAACCUUGGAACUGCCUUUGAUACUGUUUGUCUUGUGUUCGAGAGAGGUAAGUGGAACUGCGAGUGUAGAGGUGAAAUUCGUAGAUAUUCGCAAGAACACCAGUGGCGAAGGCGGCUUACUGGCUCGAUACUGACGCUGAGGCGCGAAAGCGUGGGGAGCAAACAGGAUUAGAUACCCCCGUAGUCCCUGUCUCUUAUAU